UGGGGAAUCUUCCGCAAUGGACGAAAGUCUGACGGAGCAACGCCGCGUGUGCGAAGAAGGCCUUCGGGUUGUAAAGCACUUUUUGAGAGGAUGAGGAAGGACGGUACUCUCAGAAUAAGUCUCGGCUAACUACGUGCCAGCAGCCGCGGUAACACGUAGGAGGCAAACGUUAUCCGGAUUUACUGGGCGUAAAGCGCGUGUAGGUGGUUUGGUAAGUAGGGCGUGAAAGCUCCUGGCUCAACUGGGAGAGGACGUUCUAAACUGCCAAGCUUGAGGAUGGUAGAGGGAGGUGGAAUUCCGGGUGUAGCGGUGGAAUGCGCAGAUAUCCGGAGGAACACCAGUGGCGAAGGCGGCCUCCUGGACCACUCCUGACACUCAGACGCGAAAGCUAGGGUAGCAAACGGG
rnacentral:rRNA from 2 species